GCGCCCGUAGCUCAGCUGGAUAGAGCACCAGACUACGAAUCUGGGGGUCAGAGGUUCGAAUCCUUUCGGGUGCGCCA
rnacentral:tRNA from 1 species